UGAAUUACUGAUUGAACUUUUAAUUCAAUUCGUUUUCUUUAAAUUUUAGAGUAGUUUUA
rnacentral:tRNA from 1 species